UACGUAGGGAGCAAGCGUUGUCCGGAAUCAUUGGGCGUAAAGCGCGCGUAGGUGGCCCCGUAAGUCCGCUGUGAAAGUCAAAGGCUCAACCUUUGAAAGCCGGUGGAUACUGUGGGACUAGAGUACGGAAGAGGCGAGUGGAAUUCCUGGUGUAGCGGUGGAAUGCGCAGAUAUCAGGAGGAACACCAAUAGCGAAGGCAGCUCGCUGGGACGUUACUGACACUGAGGUGCGAAAGCGUGGGGAGCGAACAGG
rnacentral:rRNA from 1 species